AUAAAGAGACACUGCUAUAUCCUCUAAGGUGAGUAAAAUUCACAUGUUUUGCAAAAUGUGUUGUAUUGUAUUAGAUUAUUGGGUUAUUAAUUACUGUAUAAAUGAAUUUAUAGAUGAGAUGAUAAAUUAUAAGUUAUAACCCCUAUUGUAUUAUGAGUAUAUAGGAGAUAGAAUAUUAUUCUUGCUCUAAAACCUGCAACAUGCCAAUAAGUGAUAGUUCUAAAACCUGCAGUAUGUAUUACUAUUUCUUUCCUACUUAGAAAUUGAGUAAUGUUUGUAAAAAUUAUAAAAUAAUAAUAAUGAUGAUUUGGUGGCGUUUAUUAUUUUAAAGAUUUUUUGUAAAACCAAAUUUAAACCUUAUUGCAAUUUAGUGUUUGAAUAAUAAUAAUAAGUACAUUUUUAGUGUUAUAAUUUUGAACAUAUAAUUCUAGGAACGAUAGACGUUUUUAUGUGAUAUUUGAAAUUAAAUAAGUCUGUAUUUUUUUUAUAGCUGUGGAUUAAAAAUGAUCUCAAAUGUAUAUUUUUAAUCAUUGGAUUAGCAUAGACGGUUGGAUUUAAAUUGGAUUAAAUCCUCCAAAUUAUAAUAUGUUGAUUGGAUUCAACUCCUUUUGAGAUGAGAAAGAGACAGCAAAUUAGAAAAAAGAAUAGAAAUGAAUUAAGUAACUCAUAACCAUAUAUUCUAAAAUAUUCUCCCUUCAAAAAUAAAAUAUAAACUAACAAAAAACUCUCAACUAUAUAAUAAUGCUCCAAAAUAAAACUUUUUGUAAUCUACCUAUAACUAAAAACAAGAAACUAACUAAAAAUAAAAAACUUGUUUUACAUGUAUCAGAAGUAGUUCCACCUCUUCAACAUGUAUAUAACUACAUUACAAAGUGUUUCUAAUCACUUCUUAAAUAUAUCACUUUCAAUUGUUGGAAAUGAAAAUGGACUAUCAGGGAGAUGAAAUCCUUCAUUGCUGCAUAAAAUUACAAACAUAAAUAAAUAAAUAUCAUAACUUAUAAAAUAUGAAUUCUAAAUAAUGUAAUCAUUUCAUGUGAAAUUGUGAACAAACAUAGGAAAAAUUCUAUAUACCUAGUCCCUUCAGAAGAAUCUUUAUCUGUGUUUUUGACAUUGUUAUCCAAUGCAACAGUUAAUACAGGCUGUGAAUUGAAUUUGAAAUGAUCUGUGUCCAAAAAACAGUUUCAAAUAGUAUAACAAAUAAUUAUAUGCAUAAAACAUAUAGAAUAAUAACAAACCAAAAUUGAAAUCUGCAUUAUCAAUUACCAUUUUGAGCUUUCAACUCAUCUUUUAACUCAUCUAGGCACAAAUCUAUGGAGAAGCCAAAAUUAGAGUAAACGGACGAAGGAGAUGAGACGGGCAAACGAGGUGAAAGCGGCAAAGGAGGUGAAAUCGGCAAAGGAAGCGGUCUUCGAGUUUGGCUAAAAUGCAGUUGCGCAAGACGUCUCCUUUCCAACUCUAAGACUUGCUCCUCCUCUUCUUCAAUCAACUGUCUCCUUUGAUAUUGAUGGUUUCCAUUAUUUCUUGAAACUGCAUAAAAUUUUGCAUUAGAUGAGUUGAACAAUAGCUUUUUCCAUAAGAAAAUUACAAAAAUAAUUCAAAAUAUGUACCUCUGUCGCAUUCAUAGUUCAUGUUUUCUGAGUUAUUUCGACCAUUAUCAAGUUGGUCUAAUAUAUCUAGUAUAUCUUGGUGCCUCC
rnacentral:lncRNA from 1 species